GCUUGCUCCAUUUGUUUGCUAGCCAUGUGAUUGAAUUUCACACAGAGGAGAGAGGGGAGACUAUUUCCAGGUGCUUGGUUUAAACUUUAACAAUAGCCUCUGAUGCUACUGACAUCACUUUUGCUCUGGAAUGCUGCAGCCACGUCCAUUGCUGUUUAAAUCAUCUUAGCCUCGGGAUGCUCUAAGCCAGCUUCCAUCGACUGCAUUCUACAUAUUCAGAGGUUCCAUCACUGAACCUCAGCUCAGUAGGACCUGCACAAACUAUGAAAAUUCACGGGGCACAACCAACUGACUUUCUGCAGAGUCAGUUUCUACUAAAUGUUUCAAAAUGUGUUUAUGCUCUGAUAUUGCCACUCUAGCAGUUUACUUUGAAAGAAACAAAAUGUAUGCACUUACAAGGAUGUUAGUUACAGUAUUAUUUUCAUGCAGAAACUGAAAAUGAAGCCACUAUGGAUGGGUUAAUAAAAGCUGUAGCUUGGAAAGGAA